UCUUUUUUUUUUUUUUUUGUAUUUUACAAACAAAAGAAGGAUAGGCUGGAAAACUAAGAGGGAAGUCCUCAGGCCCCAAUGAAGGGUUCAAAUCCACUUUUCUCCAUAUGGUGCUACACCCUUCCAGCAAAUUUCCCUCUGAGCCCCUCACAAAAGCAAUGUAUUACUUUGACCUUCAUGAUAUUUCUGGAGGCCGUAAGUGAUAAAUGAGAAUUUUCAUCAGAUGUGUUAAUGACAGACAUACCAACAGGCAAUCACCCAAAGCAAAUGUUUCUUUCAAGUGUAGUUGAGGAUGUACUGGCACAUUGUGCUCUUGAGCGCAUACCGUGUUCCAGCAACAUCAGGGGUCAGCACCCUUCUUGGGCUGACAUUUGAGGCCUUGAGAGACAUCCAGGUUUAUAACACGCCAAAGAAACCCUUCAAGGUGAGGGAGGGUUGAUGUGCUGCAGCCCCAGCACUACAGCUAAGUUGAAAGAAGCAUGAAAGAUCACAUGGGCCCCUCUGCCUGCCCACCAACAGAGCUGUUUUUAGGGAACUGCACCAUUGCAGGUUCCUGGUGGUAGGUUAUAUCAUCACUAUGGGAUGGCCUCAAAAAUAGGAGGGGCAAACCCUCAUGAUUCGAGGGGCAGAGAUUCUGGAUGCAGCCCUUGAUGCCUUGAACAGCAGGAGUUUUUUAUUGCAAAAGAAGGGGUUAUUCCAUAGGCCAACAGGCAGGUAGCCCUUGGAAUGCUCUGGGCAUAUACAUUUUUAAAUUUUAUUUAUUUAUUUUUUUUUUAGCCCACUCUAAUUUUUUCCGCAGAUUCUCUUGUCCUGGACCCAGAAUCCAGCCAAUCCAUGCUUUAUAUGGUACUGUGGUUCUCCCAACUUUAGUGUAUUCUCCAAAAUUCAUUCAAUUAGGACUAAAAUAUUUGUAUGAAUUAUGCAUAUUACUAUUGUCUCCUAUAAGUUAACAUCUUGAAUUUUGGUGAGAAAUAACACAUCUAUAAAUUGCAUGAAAAUAUCAAAGACAGUAAUUUUUUUCUUAACUCUGAGAGUUACCUCAGAUUUUGGAGUAGAAAAAUGUUUUCUUCUUAAGCAUAAAGCAAACAAAAAAAUUAGGGGGAAAAUUGACAUAUUUAACCAUGCAAAAAUUAAAGAAUAUUGUGUUUGGACUUUAAAGCAGGUGGGCCAUUUUGAUCUGGUAAUUAGACUUAUAGAAAUUCAUCCUAAACAGAAUCAGAGGCACACAGCCUCUGAUUCUGUAACAUCAUAUCAGAGUGGGAAGAGUCCCUGUGUAGCCAGGGACUAUGUAGCCAGAGUCCCUCUGUAGCCAUUUAAAACUCUGUGCCUCAGUUUCCUCACUUAUUUAAAAAAAAAAAAAAAGUUUGCUUUCUGAGUUUACUCCCAGCUGUGACUCUGAUUCUAAUCCAGAACUUAAGCACUGGGGUAGACCUAGAACUGGACUGUCCUUUACUGUAGCCACUUGCCACAUGUGGCAUUGAACACUUGCAACGUGGCUGUUACAAACUGAGAGGUGUUAUCAAAGUAAAAUACAAACCAGAUUUGUAUUUUACAAUACAAAUUAUAAAAUUUGUAUUGUAAAACAUGCUGGGGCUGCAGCAUGUCAGACUUAGUAUGUGAAUGUAAAAUAGCAUGUUAAUUUUAUAAUGAUUACAUAUUCAAAUGUUAUUUUGGAUAUACUGAAUUAAGCAAAACAUUACAAUUUUACUUGUAUCUUUUUACUUUAAUGUGGCUACUAAAAAAUUUUAAAUCACACAUGUGGCUCUCAUUCUUUCUUUUGGACAGUGCUGCUCUAGAUCAUUUCAUCAAGUGGAUAUUAUUAAAGUAGACCAAAGUUCACACCAUCAGGAUGAUAUUUACCUCUAAAUACUGUUUGAAAGAUAUUUAUUGAUCUUUUUCAGACCACUAGUGUUAAUGUCUAUUUGCCUACUGUUAAACAGUCAACCUGAUUUAUUGAUCCUUGAUUAAGUACAAGUAACUGAGCCUCUAGUCAUGUGCCAGAUUUAAAAAUUUGAUCAGACAUUUUACUACAUGAUGGUAGCCUACAGUCAAAUAAAAUUUGAGUUAUAGGUUGACACCAUCUGGUUGUCACUGAAUUUGAAAAUCCUUUGGGAAAUAGGAAAAUACUGAGUGGAGAAUAUUAGUGAAUAAUGAAAUUGAAGGGAAGUGUGUAUCUACAGUGACAACAGAAAAGGCCAUAUUACUUUUGUCUCCUAUAAAUUAACUUCUGUUCUUGAGUCCCGUUCUGUGGAGGGAGUCUGGGGCACCAGUAUGUGGACUAUCCCAUGCCUAGUUACCAGACUGUGUUUGGUGGUUUCUGUUUCAGAUCCUGCUUUAGAGCUGUGCUUGCCAUUCAGGUAGGUCAUCGCUGAGCUCUGGAAUUAAGAGACUCAGAUUUGCCCAACACUGUUCAGGGCAGAGCAGGGUUGACAGCAUUGUCAAGAAGCCAUAAAGAAAAACAGCUAAGUGGCCACUAGGUGCCACCUUUCCUUUCUCACAGUGCUAUGUUUUGAUGACAUUAAUUUUCCCAAGCUCCCUGGGGCCUGUGAGAGACAUUAUUUAAGAUUUCUGUGCCUAGAAUGAGUCAGCUUCUCCGGUGUGGGUUGGUUGAUGAGAAAUGCUUUCCAAGGGAGGUCUGGGGGGCGCCUUCUCACAUAAUAUAAGAACUUUGGUGUAGGGAGCUUCCCAGAUGUGCUGCUAGUGAGAACUGACCUUAGCAAACCCGUCCAGUCUGGGGUAGGCUCUCUGAACCCGAUGCUCAUAUAUGUUCUCAAGUGUAGAUUUGCCUUUUAUACAGUUUUUAGCUCUCUCCAGUUCACUUGCUCUUGUCUGUAUAUUGAUAUUUUUAAAAUUUUGUGGUAAAUAAUAG
rnacentral:lncRNA from 1 species